rnacentral:ncRNA from 1 species
GUUAGAGCUUCCAACCACUCCAUGGGCGUUGGAUUGUUCACCCACUAAUAGGGAACGUGAGCUGGGUUUUGACCGUCGUGAGACAGGUU